rnacentral:rRNA from 1 species
CUACGGGGUGCUCCAGUGGGGAAUAUUGCACAAUGGGCGCAAGCCUGAUGCAGCCAUGCCGCGUGUAUGAAGAAGGCCUUCGGGUUGUAAAGUACUUUCAGCGGGGAGGAAGGGAGUAAAGUUAAUACCUUUGCUCAUUGACGUUACCCGCAGAAGAAGCACCGGCUAACUCCGUGCCAGCAGCCGCGGUAAUACGGAGGGUGCAAGCGUUGAUCGGAAUUACUGGGCGUAAAGCGCACGCAGGCGGUUUGUUAAGUCAGAUGUGAAAUCCCCGGGCUCAACCUGGGAACUGCAUCUGAUACUGGCAGGCUUGAGUCUCGUAGAGGGGGGUAGAAUUCCAGGUGUAGCGGUGAAAUGCGUAGAGAUCUGGAGGAAUACCGGUGGCGAAGGCGGCCCCCUGGACGAAGACUGACGCUCAGGUGCGAAAGCGUGGGGAGCAAACAGGAUUAGAUACCCGCGUAGUC